rnacentral:rRNA from 1 species
GGUGAAGCAAGGGGUCGGGCAUAUGAGGACCUCUACCAACGGUUAGGCACGAAGGAAGGUGAAAGGGACAUCUAUAAGAUGUCUAAGAUCCGGGAGAGGAAGACGAGGGAUAUUGGCCAAGUCAAAUGCAUCAAGGACGGAGCAGGCCAACUCUUGGUGAAGGACGAAGAGAUUAAGCAUAGAUGGCGGGAGUACUUCGACAAGCUGUUCAAUGGGGAGAAUGAGAGUUCUACCAUUGAACUGAAUGACUCCUUUGAUGAGACCAGCAUGCGUUUUGUGCGGCGCAUCCAGGAGUCUUAG